GGCGCGGGGGCUGGACGGCCAGGCGGUUGCCUGCAGAGCAACAUCAAGUGGGUUCGACUCCCACCUGCGCCU
rnacentral:tRNA from 1 species